rnacentral:rRNA from 1 species
AGUGAACGCUGGCGGUAGGCCUAACACAUGCAAGUCGAACGGCAGCACAGUAAGAGCUUGCUCUUACGGGUGGCGAGUGGCGGACGGGUGAGGAAUUCAUCGGAAUCUACUUUUUCGUGGGGGAUAACGUAGGGAAACUUACGCUAAUACCGCAUACGACCUACGGGUGAAAGCAGGGGAUCUUCGGACCUUGCGCGAUUGAAUGAGCCGAUGUCGGAUUAGCUAGUUGGCGGGGUAAAGGCCCACCAAGGCGACGAUCCGUAGCUGGUCUGAGAGGAUGAUCAGCCACACUGGAACUGAGACACGGUCCAGACUCCUACGGGAGGCAGCAGUGGGGAAUAUUGGACAAAGGGCGCAAGCCUGAUCCAGCCAUACCGCGUGGGUGAAGAAGGCCUUCGGGUUGUAAAGCCCUUUUGUUGGGAAAGAAAAGCAGCAGGUUAAUACCCCGCUGUUCUGACGGUACCCAAAGAAUAAGCACCGGCUAACUUCGUG